rnacentral:lncRNA from 1 species
CUCUAUGGAGACAGUGGACUAUGUGGGAACAACCAAUGAAAUCAUUUUAUACUGAUCCUAAAAAUAUUGAUAAAUUUAGAAAUUUGAAUCGAAACUUUUAAAAAAAAGGAAGAAUUGGGCUAGUCUAGCUGCAGGAAGAAAGAAAGAGAAAAGAAGCAAAACAAUAAUACAAUAAUUUGAAAUCGUAUUGUUCAAUUAAAAUCAAAGAUUCUGACGGAUUCGUUUUUGUAAAUCGGGGCAGUCAUGUGGUAGGUGAAUUACAGAUGAAAGAAAAUCACUUCACCAAUCCCUAGAUCGGGAUCAACUCGUCAAGAGUUCCCUGGAUGGACGUAUGAAUGAUCAUGUUUACUGCCUACCUAUGCGAGUAGCAUGCAUUGCCAACAGAUGAGUUGUGAACACGUUAGAUUCGUCUCCAUCCGAAGAUGCCUUGCUAUGGAUUGCUGUCAAGCAGAGUUUCUUUUAAUGGACACCAACUAGUACGGAUUUAAGACGAUGUAAAUUAAGUUGACCGUCAAACUGCAUAGGCAUAGCAAUCAUAACUGUGGAGCUGUAUCAUAAUUCAUAAGGACCUUCACACGGCCUCAGGUGUCCACAAGGUUUCCCCAAAUAUCCCCGUGAGAUUGAAUUCCCUAAAAAAAAGGUGACUUCUGACUAUGAUAUUGCCAUACAUAUAUGUAGUUAUAUAAUUAAUUGAUUCUUUUUUGUUAAAAUUAAUUUACCUGACCCGGAUUUUUAAAUGGUAUCUUUUUAUUAUUACGAAUUAUGCAUAUAUAUUAAAUCAAAUAGUAACACAAUAAAAACGUAUAUUUCAAA